rnacentral:rRNA from 1 species
GUGGGGAAUAUUGGACAAUGGGCGCAAGCCUGAUCCAGCAACGCCGCGUGGAGGACGAAGGUCUUCGGAUCGUAAACUCCUGUCAGACGGGACGAAGGGACCGGGGCAAAUAGUCUCGGUUCUUGACGGUACCGUCAGACGAAGCCCCGGCUAACUCCGUGCCAGCAGCCGCGGUAAUACGGAGGGGGCGAGCGUUAUUCGGAAUUAUUGGGCGUAAAGGGCGCGUAGGCGGCCCUGCAAGUCAAAGGUGAAAUCCCUCGGCUCAACUGAGGAACUGCCUUUGAAACUGUGGGGCUUGAGGCCGGGAGGGGGUAGCGGAAUUCCCAGUGUAGCGGUGAAAUGCGUAGAUAUUGGGAGGAACACCAGUGGCGAAGGCGGCUACCUGGACCGGUACUGACGCUGAUGCGCGAAAGCGUGGGUAGCAAA